CACCUCUAGCAUCGCAAGUAUUAGAGGCAUUGCCUGCCCAGUGACUGUAGUUAAACGGCCGCGGUAUCCUGACCGUGCAAAGGUAGCAUAAUCACUUGUUCCUUAAUUAGGGACUUGUAUGAAAGGCUGAACGAGGGUCCAACUGUCUCUUAUUUUUGAUCAGUGAAAUUGACCUUCCAGUGAGGAGGCUGGAAUUUACUAAUAAGACGAGAAGACCCUAUGGAGCUUAAAUUUAAACUUAUUUAUUUUUCUUAAUUCACCUAAUGGUACAAAAACAAUAUUAUAAGCUUACUAUUUUGGUUGGGGUGACCUCGGAGAAUAAAAAAUCCUCCGAACGAUAAUAACAUAGACUAACAAGUCAAAGUAACCUAUUUCCAAUUGACCCAAAACUAUUUGAUCAACGGACCAAGUUACCCUAGGGAUAACAGCGCAAUCCUAUUUAAGAGUUCAUAUCGACAAUAGGGUUUACGACCUCGAUGUUGGAUCAGGACAUCCCAAUGGUGCAGAAGCUAUUAAUGGUUCGUUUGUUCAACG
rnacentral:rRNA from 1 species